UCUACGGGAGGCAGCAGUGAGGAAUAUUGGUCAAUGGCCGGAAGGCUGAACCAGCCAAGCCGCGUGAAGGACGAAGGUGCCAAGCAUUGUAAACUUCUUUUGUCAAGGGACAAAAUCAGGCUCGAGAGCCUGACCGAGGGUACUUGAAGAAAAAGCAUCGGCUAACUCCGUGCCAGCAGCCGCGGUAAUACGGAGGAUGCGAGCGUUAUCCGGAUUUAUUGGGUUUAAAGGGUGCGUAGGCGGGACCUUAAGUCAGCGGUAAAAUUGCGGUGCUCAACGCCGUAGAGCCGUUGAAACUGGGGUUC
rnacentral:rRNA from 1 species